AUGAGAUUCCAUACAGCUAAAAAGAAUAGACCAAAUAAUGAUUGGUGUUUUUCUUCUUGCAUUUUUACCUUUCUUGCCCCUCACUCCAACCUAGAAAUCCUUGGGAAGAGAAGCACAUCACCACAACAUGGUGGGAAUGAGGAAAGUUCCAUUCUUCCAACAUGCAAUAAUAAAAACACACUCAUGACUACAGCACAUCACAAUAUCCAACCCACUAUUCCACCCAUAACCUUCCAUGGAAAUAUUUUAAAAAGUAAAUUAGUUGAUUCAUUAAUAUUUAUUAAACAAAAUAAAAAAAUGAUAUUUUUGAGAAUAGGGUUGUAG